GGGGAGCUGCCCUGUCUCCCUGCUCGCCACUUGUAAUCCAUGCACCGUGGCGCCUGUGGCAUCCCCUUGGCUAUAAAAGGAGGACCCCCCGCCAACGGUCAAAGGGUUGGUUCAUUCGAGUCCGGAUCAGUUCGAUAGGCUCACGGUUAUCCUCUAGUGUUAGCAGAGAGUGGCAAGGAACACUUAGCCAAAAGGAGAGAGUACCCGAGAACGCACCCGGCAACCUGUAAACACUUGGUUUUGUGGUAAUACGAGCUCAGACAAGCAGGAUGUAGGGUUUUACACCUCCGGGUGGCCCGAACCUAGGUAAAAACGUGCGUGCAUGUGUCCCUAGCUUGCGUGCGUUCUUGUUGCAUUACUUUGCAGGUUAGGUACGCCUCCAGCGCUGGUCUGGUUUUCUCCUUUUUUUUUCUAUUAGCCUUUUCUUUUUCUGUUUUUCUUAUUUCUUUGAUAUCUUUUGAUUUUGAACUCCAAAUUGGUCCAAAUAAAUCCAGAAAAUUUGUAAAAUCAUGUUCUAUCAUGAUACAACUUUUGGGAGUAGUUUCCCCUCAAAAUAAAAUAUAUUAAAAAUACAUUUGCCCUAUAAAUGCCUUUAGGGCUAUAUAUCUAUUUAAAUAAAAUACUUUUUCAACUCCAAAUAAUUAUCCAAAAAUUAAAGGAUAGCUCAUUUAUGCAAUAAACCCCUUUUAUAAAUAAACCUUAUUGGUUUGAAGAUCCAAAGCUCAAAUGGGUAAUAACUCUAGGGUUUAAAUUGAAAUCCUUUUCAAAGCCUUUUGAGAUUCAAAUUUGAAUUCAAACAUGCAAUUGUGGCAUGAUGCUUAUGGAUGCAAUGCAUAUGUAAGAUUUAAAAUUUUGGGAUGUUACAGACCUAACCCCCUUAAGAUGAAUAUCGUCCUCGAGAUUCGGUUUGGCUAGCAAAGAGGUGUGGGUGGUUUUCUCGAAGAUCAUCUUCGCGUUCUCAUGUGGCUUCUUUUUCUGUAUGAUGGUCCCACUGGACUUUGCAGAACUUGAUGGUCUUGGAUCGGGUUUGUUUUUCAGCUGUAUCCAAGAUUCUGAUAGGUUUCUCCUCAUAGGUGAGGUCACUCUGCAGUUGGACUUCUUCAAGGGCUAUCGUAUCCCUUAGUGGUGUGUCGGC
rnacentral:lncRNA from 1 species